rnacentral:misc_RNA from 1 species
GAUGAAGAACGCAGCGAAAUGCGAUAAGUAAUGUGAAUUGCAGAAUUCAGUGAAUCAUCGAAUCUUUGAACGCACAUUGCGCCCCUUGGUAUUCCGGGGGGCAUGCCUGUUCGAGCGUAAUUUCAACCCUCAAGCUCUGCUUGGUAUUGGGCACCGUCCUUUGCGGGCGCGCCUCAAAGACCUCGGCGGUGGCGUCUUGCCUCAAGCGUAGUAGAAUACACCUCGCUUCGGAGCGUAAGGCGUCGCCCGCCGGACGAACCUUCUGAACUUUUCUCAAGGUUGACCUCGGAUCAGGUAGGGAUACCCGCUGAACUUAAGCAUAUCAAUAAGCGGAGGA